UAGGGCCCAAGCCAGCCAGGAAGGAGGAGGCAGCCAGAGUGUUCUCGGCAGCAGAAGACCCCCCUGCUGCCAGACAGUUUAGAACAUCAUUUCUUACCACUUCUAUCUGACUCAGUUCUUUAACCUCCAUCCCCGAGAAGCCUGGUUCAGGAACAGGUAUUGACACGUCACGGCAUCUAAAUAUCCUUUUCAAGGCCUUCAUUGCAACCCUACCAAGUGCCAGUCUGCGGCAUAUUUCUUGACUGCUGGUUCCUUUACGGUUGAUGGUCAAUCCUAAAAGACAGAAGCUAUCCACCACUUCAAUGUCUUUUUAAAAAAAAAACUUGAUAUUGUAUCCAUUUCAUUAUAUAUUCACUAACGCCAUGAGCUGCCCCAAGCAGCAGUGUAAUGGAGAGGCAGAGUAUAAGUAUUUUAAAUAAAUAAAUAAGCCUU